GCACAAUGAGUAAAGCGGUGGUCUCGUAAUUUUAUCGCUGGAUUACGAGGGUUCGACUCCUCUCACCGUACUUGAAAAAUACGUGUUUUUUAUUUUGGCCCGCACAUUUCUUUUUACUGUCUGUAGAUGAUAUUUACAUGGAUACAGACUUUAUUAAGCAGUGAUGCCGACGUUUUUCGGCGAGGUCUUCUUUAUCUGGUAUCUUUAUUUCACGUAAAUCCAGGUCUGAUCGUGACGAAUCUGCGGACGAAACAUCUGGAGACGGAAACUAUCGCCAGUUAACCUGAUCACCAGUUAAACUGGAACACCAGGAGGAAGAGGCAACGUCGCGCCGUUUGGAGUCAGAAAAAAUGAAAAUGGAAACACAGAGGACGUUUCUCAAUACGAAGUAGUGAUUCGGAACUAUGGAAAAACUGUCCUCUCAUCCAGACGGGUUCUUCAACACGCCAAAACUGCUCUAAAAAUCGUUGUAUAAAGCAGCCAUUUCUUCAAGCAGGAGGUUGACCCUUCAAAGUGUUAUGCAGUACCUGGAUAAAGAGCAUUAAAACUUUGUCUGCAGAGAGAAAAAAACGACUCCGUUUUUUGCCAGACUGGAGGAUGUUGGAGGGAGUCUGUUAAUCUCUCUGGACCUGACAUUUGAAAACCUCCACCUCUCCUCACCCUCCCAGCCCACUGAUGUGAGGAAAUCCAGCUCUGAACAGACUGAACUUCGAAAUCCCUCCUGGAAGCUUCACCCUGAACAGACAACUGCAAUGCCGUGGUAACGGGCAGAUUACAGCGUCAGACCUUCCUGCAGAAACCCUCAGAGCCCAGAGGAUUCUUACCGAUGCUCAGGAGAUGGAUGAGGAGAGGAAACGUUGUCCAUCCUCCAGACGGAUCUGAAGACCCGACCGGCCUCUGGGGCGGCGUUUGGUGAAGUUAUCUCUGGAGGCUGCUGGAGGAUAAAUGUGGAGAUCUGCAGAUAGAAGCCAAGAAGAUGAACGGAGCUGGACAGGAAGAAGAUCUACGUCUGCUCCCAGCGGUGGAUCUGAAGUUAACCAAACUGGUUCUGACUCUGACUGGAAUAACUGUGAGGUUAGGUGUUUAUGCACGGUUUGUUUUCCUCCUGAUUCAUCUAACUUUUUCAAGAGAUUUCUCAGUUGUCUCUCCUCCUUCAUGUUGUUCUGUUUCCACAAAGGUGCAGGAUUUUAGAUCUUUCACUGUCUUUAUGCAUCUUAUAGUUGAGAUUUGGUGUCUCUGUGUGGCCAUUUAGUGUCUAUUUUGUUGGUCCCGUCUGUUUUUGGAGUUAUUGUUUGUAGUUACUGGUAGUUUUUACAUGUAUGAAUGUUCAAUUUGCAUCUAUUUAUUGUUGAUGUUCGUCUCUUUUAGGUCAUUUUGUGUCUCUUUGCUGUGCUGUUGCAUCAUAUCGUUGUUCUUUUGUGUCACUUUGCUGUAGUUUUACAGAGAAAUUCUAUGUUUUUGUUUUUUUCUAUGAUUUCUGUCAUUCUAACUGCACAGAAGUGUCAGGCCUGCAGCAGCAGCAGGCUCUGUGUAGGACUUUUUUCCCUCCCUUCUGUUUUCCUUAUUAGGUGUAUUAGGUGUGUGCAUGAAGGCUGUGGCGGCAGGUGAUGGCACUCUGCAAUCAGCAGACCGGGAGACGGACGCAGGGCCAGGAGACGGGCACAGGACCGGGAGAUAGACCCGGUCCUGCGUCCGUCUCCAGGUUCUGCUUUCGUCCCCAGGUUCUGCUCCCGUCUCCAUUUUCUGCUCCCGUCUCCAUUUUCUGCUCCCGUCUCCAGGUUCUGCACCCGUUGUGCUCCUUCCUCCAGGUUGUGCUCCUGUGUCCAGGUUCUGCUCCCGUCUCCAGGUUCUACUCCCAGGUUGCUCCCAACUCGAGGUUCUGUUCCCUUCUCCAGCUUCUGCUCCCGUCUCCAUUUUCUCUCUACCUGUCCCCCAGGACAGGUGUCUGUCUCUCUCUCCUCAUGUCCCCCAAGACAAGUCUCUCUCUCUUCCUGUCCCCCAGGAAAGGUAUCUGUCUCUCUCUCCACCUGUUCCCCAUGACAGAUGUCUGUCUCUCUCAUCUUGUCCCUCAGGACAGGUGUCUGUCUCUCUCUCUCUUUCCUCCUGUGUGUUCCAGCCCCAGCCCGAGUGUUCAUUUGUUUGCAUCUAUUGCACUACAGCUAAUGUAUAACAGCUCAAUUUUUGGUGAUGUAUAUUAGCUAAUGUAUUAUACCUAUCGUGGGGCGGCUGUGGCUCAGGUGGUAGAGCGGGUCUUCCAAUGAUCGAAAGGUCGGCGUUUCGAUUCCCUCUCUGUCCUAGUCAUGUGCUGUUGUGUCCUUGGGCAAGACACUUUACCCACCUGGCCUCCAGUGCUGCUACUCACACUGGAGGAAUGCGUUCUGAAUGCUGGUGGUGGUCGGAGGGGCCGUAGGUGCAGAUUGUCAGCCACGCUUCCGUCAGUCUGCCCCAGGGCAGCUGUGGCUACAAAUGUAGUUUACCACCGCUGAGUGAGAAUGUGUGAGUGAAUGAAUAAUGGAUUCAUUGUGAAGCGCUUUGAGUGCCUUGAAAAGCGCUAUAUAAAUCUUAUCCAUGAUCAUUAGUAUGAUUGUACCACAAGUAUUGUAUAACAGCUAAUGUAUUAAAGUAACGUAUGAGAGCUAAUGCCUAUCAUUUAUUGGACUACAGCUAUUAGAUGUAAUGUGUUACAGCUAAUGACUGCCCAGGUGUUUCAGCCUGAGUGUUCCCCAGGACAGGUGUCUCUCUCUCUCAUCCUGUCCCCCAUGACAGGUGUCUCUGUCCUCCUGUCCCCCAGGACAGGUGUCUGUCUGUCUGUCUCUCUCUCUCCCUUCCUGUCCCCCAGGACAGGUGUCUGUCUGUCUCUCUCCUCUUGUCCCCCAGGACAGGUGUCUGUCUCUCUCCCUUCCUGUCCCCCAGGACAGGUGUCUGUCUCUCUCUCUCCCUUCCUGUCCCCCAGGAAAGGUGUCUGUCUGUCUGUCUCUCUCAUCCUGUCCCCCAUGACAGGUGUCUGUCUCUCUUGCACUCCUCCUGUCCCCCAGGACAAGUGUCUGUCUCUCUCUCUCCUCCUGUCCCCCAGGACAGGUGUCGGUGUCUCUCUCCUCCUGUCCCCCAGGACAGGUGUCUGUCUCUCUUGCGCUCCUCCUGUCCCCCAGGAUAAGUGUCUGUCUCUCUCUCCUCCUGUCCCCCAGGACAGAUGUCUGUCUCUCUCUCUCAUUCUGUCUCACUCUCCUCUUGUCCCCCAGGACAGGUGUCUCUCUCUCUCCUCUGGAUCUGCUUGACAGGUGUCCCUCUGUCAUCCUGUCCCCCAGGACAGGUGUCUCUCUCUCUCAUCCUGUCCCCCAGGACAGGUGUCUGUCUCUCUCCCUUCCUGUCCCCCAGGAGAGGUGUCUGUCUGUCUCUUUUGUCUAUUUCAGUUUUACAAUAUUGACCUGAGUCAAGCUCAAGUAAACCACGCAAACCAAGCAAGAAAAGUUGUACAAACCAACAGGAUAAUUAAAAGUUUGGUUUAUUGCUGUGUUCAUUUUAUCUUACAGCUCAAAGUCGGGCCAAUGGACGGCAUUUGCAGAGACUAUGCGCCUGGGAAGAGCUUCAGGUUUCAGAUCAGAGGUGACCCGGGUGCAAAAGUCAGCCUGGUGGCUGUGGACAACGCUGUGUAUCUUCUCAACAAGGACAGACUCACACAGAGGAAGAUUUGGGACGUGGUGGAGCAUGGAGACAUUGGCUGCACCCGUGGGGGAGGCUGAGAUGCUAAGGGGGUGUUUUCAGAUGCAGGACUGAUGCAGGACUGAUGCAGGACUGAUGCAGGACUGCUUUAGGACUGCUUUACUCCUCCAGUACUGGGUUCAAAACUACAACCAGACAAACCGUGCAGUGUCCAGGCAGUACCAGAAGGAGACGCUCUGCUGAACUGUUGAAGCGUAAAGCUCAGCUGGUUGCCUGCUAAUCUUGAUUUGGAAGUAGAGGCUCGAGGAAAUGGACAAGGAAUACUAGAGUACAGGGAAAGACGACCACGGGUUGUGACCUAUUACAAUCAGCUGCAUGAGGUGGAAGAGAAAAUGCCCUGCAAGCACUUUGAUCUCAACGUCACUUUUGAAGGAUCCAGCGAAAAGCCUCCAGCAGAUGUAGAAAAGUCAGACAAGAUCAAGUAGUUGUUGUUGUUAUACGUGUACACGACUGUGCAAAAUGUUAGAUCGGCAGCAAUAUCGACUACCUUAUUACAAAUUGCAGGGCACAGUUUCACAGCUUUGGGUAGUUCAAAAUAUCUUGUGCCAGUUCCUCUGUGGACUGACACUCUGUACAUUAUCUGAUAGGUACUUUAUUCAUUCCCUUAGGGAGAUUCAAGGUAUGCAUGAGCUCACGUGUUACAUAGAAGAUAGAGGGCCACUGUGCGAAUGAGCAUGCAACAGACAUCCCAAAUCUGCCUAAAAUGCUGGUAUUUACAGAGCAGGGCUCUAGGACCCAGAGACGUCAGGAUGGUGGUUCUUGAUAUCGGUCUACCAACUGGAUUCACCCCAGAAAACUCUGACCUGGAGAUGGUAAUCACCUUCUAGUGCUAGUGCAGAAAAAUCUGAAAGCUUGUGUCAAUGGUGUAUUUAAGUGUCUUUAAAAUGAAUGUAGUAUUUUAAAUAAAAGUUUGUAAAAAGUUUACUACAUCAUGAUAAUGACCUUCUAAUGGAUGAGACAUGAAUGAUCGCAUGUUUAGGACGGCGGCGUUGCUAACUAGCUAACAGCUGACUCUGUUUAUGUGUGUGUCCAGCUGUCCAAUUCAGUGCAUCGUUACAUCAGUAACUUCCAGAUUGUAGACAACCUGAGUGACAGAGGCUCCCUGAUCAUUCACCUGUUCAAAGUAACAUCACUGUAUUUAUAAUUAUUAUUCUAUGUCAUAUCAUUUUAUGUUAUUCAUAUGCUUUUCUUUUUUUCCAAGAAGCAGGUUUCUCAAUGCUCAGUAAAUAAGUCUUUAUGACCACAGUCAACAAUCUGAGGCAGUUUUAGGCUAUUACACAAAACCGGCUUAUUGGUACCAAAGCCACGGUUCAGAACUCAGACUUGCUAAAUCAGUGUUGGUGUAGUGCAGUGUAGGGCUGCAGCCAGAGUACUGACGAUAGUUAGCAAGAGAGAUCAUAUUUCUCCUAUGCUGGUUUCUCUUCAUUGGCUUCCUGUGAAAUGUAGAAUAGAAUUCAAAAUCCUUCUUCUGACAUAUAAAGCUCUUAACAACCACUCUCCAUCAUAUCUUAAAGACCUGAUAGUACCAUAUUAUCCUAGCAGAACUCUUCGCUCUCAGACUGCAGGCUUACUUGGAGAAGCGACCCGUAACUUCUCUCUAAAAGUAGAAUGGGAGGCAGAGCCUUCAGUUAUCAGCUCCUCUCUUGUGGAACCAGCUCCCAGUUUGGGUUCCGGAGGCGGACACCCUCUCUAAUUUUAAGACCAGGCUUAAAACCUUCCUUUUUGACAAAUCUUAUAGUUAGGACUGACUGGGGGACCCUGAGGGGGUCAGCUGGAGUCUUCCUCUUGGACGUCCCUUAGUUCUGCCCCUAGUUCUGCUGCUACAGGCCUAGGCUGCUGGAGGACCUCUCUGGAUGCACUGAGCCCUUCUCUAUCUACCAUUAUAUUUAAUAUACAGUAUAUAUACCAUUAUUGCAUUACACUCACUCUGUUUCUCCCUGUGUCCUUUCUCCGAGUGUCCCUGAUCCCAGAGCUGGAUGCUUCAGAUCUGUGGUGGUUCUCCCACCAACUGGCCUAAUCUCCAUCUGUGGGAUGCUGCUGCUGCUGACCUUCCUCCAGCCCACUGCUUCCAGCUGCCCAUUUCCAUCAAUCUACUCUGCAUCAUCCUCACUAUACUUGAUUUGCUCGUCUACAUAUUUUUGAAUUUACCACCAGCUAUAUAUGUAGCAUAUUUAAUGCCAGAGCCAUACACCGUAGCAGUAAACUAUAAUCAGUUUCCAGCCCAGAGGGAUAUAUGCGCAGAUUUUUUUUAAAAUACCAUGUAGAAGACUAUAUACAGGAAGAUGAGGUAUCAGUUCUUGCACGUAGAUAUACAACAGUCCUUUAUUACUCCCCAGGUUAGGGGAAAUUUCCAGUGUUAGAGCAGCAAAAAUCUUUCAGAGCAGCACUAACUACAGUUUGCUACAGUAAAGAUAAUAAUUAUAAUAACAAUAAUAUAUACAAGAAUGAAAAAUGAAUAAAUACAGUAUUACUACACUAUAAGUGACAUCAGCAUAAAGUGGCUUGUGGAAUACAUGUAAUUGUAAAAGUGCAGAAAAUGCCAGCCGUGCAAGGAGUUGUGGAGAUUUUCUCAAAACAGGUGAGUCCUGUGAAUAUGACCAAAAUAUGAGAUAAAACUACCAGAAACAUGUACAAAACGACCAAAAUAUGAUUGCUUGAUAAUGUAUCAGUGUUGUUAUUGAUUAUUGAUCGGUUGCAGGGACAGAGAUUUGUGUCUUGAGUCUCUGCUGUCAUCUAAUCUCUCUCAUGUAAGAUCGUGUCACAGGAGGGGGCGCUACUGACCUCUUGUGGACACAGGCGGUAACGACACGACAUUAUUACUAACUGUAUAGCUGGCGACAUUACAGGUGAGCAGCACUUCCUGUUCAUCUUCAACGUAAAAGCAUCUUUCUUUGUUGUACAUUUUAUGUCAAACGUAUUACUAAGCGAUUUUGGUCGAUUCAGAAGGAUCUCCGGUGUAAACCAAGUCGUAUUUGACGACAGCCAGCCUCUCCACUUGCUCCGAUUACUUUUGUUGUAGUCUGAGUCACGUCCAAACAGGAAAUGAAUCCACAACGUAGCUAAUGACAAUCUAUAGCUGCGUCUGUGAUGGCAGCGUUAGCGAGCUAGCAGCUAAUCAGAAGCUAGCGACAAGCUAACUCCAGCGCUACCAGCAGCGUCUCUUUAAAAGGUGCUGAUCACGAUAUCGGGCUGAAACAUUAGACCUGGGACAGGAAACGGAGCUAGAGCUCUGUGUCUUGGAGAGAAUUGAUUUUAGAGCUACGUGUGUUACUUUCGCUAGCUCGGCUAACACUUCCGGUCACGAAUGCAUUUGUACAUUACCUAUAACGUGUUCAUUUUUGAACGUAUAGUGACAACAAACACAAUUUGAGGGAGUCGACAAGCUAGUGGUCUUUAAAGACAUUUUGGUUCAUACUGCAGAUUCUUCUGAGUCUCACAAAACCACGUUUUAGCCUAAGAGCAUUACGAUAGUUUUACGUUGAAACAGGAAGUGCUGCUCAUCUGUACUGUGGCCAGCUUUGCCUCAAAUAAUAAUAGUGUCGUUACCGCCUGUGUCCGCCAGAGGGGCAGUAGCGCCCCCUGCUCUGAUAAGGAUAAGGAUAAACUUUAUUGAUCCCACAGUGGGUAAAGUUCACCGAGCUGCUUCACUGAGGAGAGUCUUUUAGUUUUCAGAUAAUAUGAUGGUGAAGAAAAUGUGUUACUGCAGUAAAGAUUCCACUGAAUUAUUAUUUGAUCCACGAUCGAGAGCACUCGGUUCUUCUCCAGUUUGUUGCUGCGGUCCGGUGAACAGGUGAGCUCCAGGUGAACAGGUGAUGUCAGCAGCAGGUCAGUCUGUGAUUGGAGCAGUAAAACUCAUCUACAUGAAAUUAAAUGUUAUGUUAAUGUAGAUGCACUCGUGUGACAUAAAGUGGACUAGGUUUAGAGCCAGGAUUUUAAACUUUUGUAUCUCUGUGUUCCCCCCGCUGACCUGAGCAGGUGGUACGUUCCACUCAGACACACCUGACGGGGUCAGACCACCAACACACAAGCCCCGCCGCUGCAGUUUAUUUAACCUUAAAGUAGUUUUAUCGAUCUUUUCAUGGUUUCUUCAUCUUUGAAUGAAUAUUUUUGGCACUAAAUGUGAACUUUUUGAACGGACUCUGCUCGUCAGAUGGAGGAACGUCAGGGAGUUUGUUGGAAGAUUCAGGUGAGAGGAAACAGAAGUAGGAUGUUAGACAGGACUGAUCUGCUGUCCUAUCUUCAUCAGACACUGAUGCUGUGGCUGAACGUCAGGUCAGAUCAGAUCAGCAGCACCUGAUGUGCAUCAAGGAACAUCAUGUUUCUUGAUGCACAUCAGGCUCCAGGUGGUUAAAAUAUACUUGACUUGUUCAUUUAAAGUGUUUUCCUCAAAACUCGACCAGCUUCAUUAGAGUAAAUCGUCAUGAUGUCGUGGUCAGAUAAUACCAAAGAGGAGGUUUGUGCUU